UAGAAAAACAUUAUUGUUCAAUCUCUGAAGAAACAAUAGUGUCAGGCAACGAAUGGUCAUCAUCAGUGACUGCUAACAUCAUGAGGUGAAAGGUUUCUUUAGAAUGUCACAAUGAAAAGUUUCAGUGUGGCAGGGUGGCUCACACUUGUAAUCCCAGCACUCGGGAGACUGAGGUGGGAACAUGGGGAGUGUGAGGUUAUCCUUGGCUUUAUAGCAAGUUUCAAAAUCUAGUCCAGGAUACAGGAGACCUUGUCGAAGAAGAGGAAGAAGAAGAAGAAGAAGAAGAAGAAGAAGAAGAAGAAGAAGAAGAAGAAGAAGAAGAAGAAGAAGAAGAAGAAGAAGAAGAGAAAGAAAGGCAGACACCGUUAGCAUCUGCACUGCCGAUAAAACCUUAGAGUAUCUGAAGAGAUAGCUCUGUGCCUCCUUGGUUGAACCUGAAUCUACAUCCCUUCAGGCUGACAUCUAUUUUACAGGAAUAAGGAAAAUAAAUAAGUUAGCAUACAUCAUAAGGAGGCAAACAGACAAAUCAGGAAUAUAGGAUUUGCCUCUGUAGGGCAAUGUUGUAGUUUUCUGUUUUAAGAAAUCACUGAUAUGAGCAAAGUGCGGUGAAAAGGAAAGGAACAACGCCAUACAAAUAGUUUAUAGGUCAGCACAAGCUAACCGGGAACAUGGCUUGAAGGCAGCCGUAAGAGCUCAGCUAAGCACAGAGUAUUAUAUGGGGAACUGGUUGAUUUGGUUAGGUGUGAUAAUAGCUUUAUUUUAUAUAAGAAAAUAGGCUUUGAUGUAUUGGUUUUAUUUUUAGAUGUGAUAUACAGAAGGAUAGACUAGCUAGGACAAGUAGUAACAGUAAAAUUGGGCUAACUGUGAAAUCCAGGUGACACGAUUAAGGAGAGUUAUCAUCCUAUCCUCCAUACUUUGAUAGAUGUUAAAAAAGCAUUAAUUAACUUCCAGUCUUUAUUUAGAUAAGAAACCAUAUCUAAAGUUACCCCUGGCUCUAGGAGGUUCUACUUGAUCAAGCCACCAUUUAUUUCAGAUCUUCUGCUAUCUUCUUCCCCUAUUUAGUCUGUUCCAGUUACUGUCUGUCUGUUCCCUGACAGUUUCAUGGCAAGUAUACUGACUUUCCUGGGUGUUUUGAUCCCUCUGCCUGGACUAUCCUUCCCCUGGAGUAAGCAGGACUGGGCCCUCUCAUUCAGAUCUCUGCUCAAGUAAUACAUUACUGGGGGCCUCUCUUGCGGCUAUAGUUAAAAUAUAAUUCCCUGCUACCUACUGAUCGCUAAUUAAACUUUCUUCAAUUUUCUUCCUGGCAGUAACUGAUAGGAACAUGACAGUGCUGCUUUCUUGUCUGCCUGUCCAGUUAUUUUAUUUCAGCUGCCAGCCCAGCAUCCCGACCAGUGCCUGCCCCCUAGUAGGAAUUCUCUAAUUCUAUAUUAGAAGAGUGUAUGACAUCUUGAGGACAUGGAGCGCCACAUCACGAUGACACGCCUGCUAACGUGCUAAUCCUCUAGGAACACAGUGUGCCGGCCUGACCUCUGUGUGUCAUAUGGUAUGGGUGAUCUUGGGGAUAAAGAUAAGGCAUCUAGCAGACUCUGCUUGUCUUCAGGGAGGAUUUGUUUGUACAGAUGCUUUGAGACUAUUGCCUGGCUGACCUCCAGGCAGCCUGGUUUGUAAAGGGGGUGGAGUUCUCCUCUAGCUAUCUGUCCAACUGCUGCUUCCUGACUCACCCAAUUCCUGUCCCAGGCCAUCCCUAAGCUCUAUUUUCUUCUAGUUGCUAUGGGAAACAAGAAAGCUGGUGGUUGAGAAAAACUCUACCAGAUCUGGGUGAGUCCAUACUACAGGCCCUAAAUCCUCCCCCCCCAUUUUUUUCUUCCUUACACAGUACAUCCGAAGAUUGCGGUGCGGAGAUGCUCUGAAUAGUUUUCUCCACGACAGUCUUGGGUCAGGGGACUGGUAGUAAGUUUUAAGGCCUCUUCUAACAGGGAAUUCUGCCCCUCCCAUCUGUUUUCCCUGUAUACUCUCUCCAUCGCCCAGCUUGAUCCUUCCAUGUCCUGCAGUCACGGGACAGGAUUCAACUUGGGCCUUUGGCAUCCUAGGGACACCUAUUGAGAGAUAGCUGGGCAGAAAUUUCAUUCAACUAUCUUGCGCUCUACACAUUCUAAAGGACAUUAGACAAUACUGUGAUGCAUGUUUGGGUGCUUGGGUAAUAGUGUUGUCUCAUUGAAAUUUGGAACAAGGAUGUCACAAUUUCCUGGUAAGUAUUGUCAAGGGCAUUCUUUAUUAUCCCCCAAACCUUCCAAGUGCAUUUAAGAUAUUCUUAAUGUUACACUUUUAUUUUUCAGAAGCGAACAUGACAAGUGGCAACUUGCUUUUGCAAAAGACAUUAAAGAACCUCAGAGUAAUAAAGUGUAUAUCUCAUAAAGAUAGCAGUCUAAGAAAUAUUAUAUAACUAUUAAAGAAAAUCUUAUUAGGCAACAGCAGAGAUAGCUCAGUUGGUAAAGUGCUUGGCAAACAAACAUGAGACACUGAGUUCGAUCCCCAGCAUGCAACCACGUAAAAAGCCAGGCAGCCAGGGUCUGUAAAGUCAGGGCUGUGAAGGUGAGGCAGGAAGUUAUCUGGAGCUGCCCGCCAGCCAGCCUCGCUGAAUUGCUAAAAAUUCCAGGCCUUGGUUUGUAUUUCUCAGCACUGUGAAUUCGUGGUAGCAUUAGAUAACAGAAUGUUCAGUUCGAUCUCACUGAUACUCGGUUGCAAAUAACAAGCAUCUUCUUGGCUGAGUUCUAGUAACCUUGCUGUAAUGAAAGUGAUCUCUGCUGGGCUCUGUGCACAUCCUUCCUUAGUUUUGCUGCUCUACCCAACAAGUUUGCCCGUAGCUGGCACACUAGAUGGGAUACCUUCCUUUGAUAGCGCACUCUGCUUGUUUUUAUGUGCUCAAAGAGAAACAAUGCUUUUGCCAAAAACAGUUACUUGGCUCAUUAUCUACUAUUUGAGUCCAAAAAUCAAAGCAGUGCGUUUCAGUUUUGUCACAACUUUUGUUGAUGCUUUAAACUGCUUGGACAUUUCUCAAACCCUGGAAAACUGAAAAGCUGUUCAACUGGAAGGAAACUGACCAAAAAUAACUGAAGAACAGUGUAAAGGGGAUCAGAUUUCAUGGCCUCUCCCAUUGCAGACUUUUAGUGGCUUCCUCUUCAGUAACUUAGAAUAGGCGCUGGAGACGGGUCUGUUGUUAUCAGCACAUACUGGUCUCACAGUAGACCUGAGUUUUGUCCCCAGCACACGCUCAGUCAGCUCACAACUGCUUGUAACUCCAGCUCCAGGGGAUCUGAUAUCUCUGGGCUCUUCAGGUACCACCCCCAUACACAUGCACACAUACCCCCCCCACACCUAAGCAUAAUUAAAAUAAGAAAAUAAAUCUUUAAGAAAUACUUACACUACCAUCCCAAGCACUUGCCCAGACCUAAGAAAGUUGACACCUGCUUUCCCUCGCCCUAAACCAGUCUCCUUCCUCCAGUUCACCUGGCCCUCAGCUUGUGAACAGUUGACGUCAUCAGUAUAAACAGGACUUUGGACCUUACUGUGAGGAUUUUAAUUGUGAGAAAAAGGGCUUGCCUAUAAAUGUAACUCUGUUGCUUUCUUACUUUUUAUUCUAUUCUCCCCCCCACACACUUUGGCCACAAUUAGAAAAAAGUGUAAGUAACUGUGUUGACAGACAUUCUGUGUGUGUGUGUGUGUGUGUGUGUGUAUGUGUAAGUGCAUGUGUGGGUGUGCACAUUUGUGUGCACAUAUGUGGAGGCCAGAUCUGGUGCAGGCCUGGUGUUGGUAACCAUAGCUGCUGUAAUUUCAUGAGUACAAGGGCCACGUUGUGUUCAGAAGACAGUGUUUCACAACAUUCCCUUCCGUCCUCUUUCACAGGUUUUUCACCUUCUCCUUCAUGGUGUUCCCUGAGCCUUGGGGAUAGGGGUGAUGCAGAUGUCUGGGACUAAAUGCUCACCAGUCUCUUCCUGAGCACCAUGUGUCUUUACAUUAACUGUUGCCUGUGACAAAAUGAAACUCUUCUGAAGACCAGGAAUGGAGCAGUACUAAAAUCUGUGGCUAUAAAUCACUGUUUUAGGUCAUGGGGAUACACCAGUGAACACAAAGGAAGAAGAAAAAUCUCCAUACUCAUGGUGUUUAUCAGCAAUGGAGGAGGCCAUGGGAAGAAUAGUAAGCAGUGAAGUCAGGGAAGUGGCCGAAGACCAGCUUCUUCAAGACCUUUUGCUCUGUGUGGCCUGAGAGUCAUUGGGAGCAUUUUGAGAUAUGAUACAACUUGACUCAUGGUUACCAGGAUUGUUCUAGCUACAACUGGGAAUAGAAUCUUGGUGGGGGAAGCAAGAACAGAGGCAGAAAGAGCAGUUCCAAGAGUUGUAAUGAUCCAGUAGAGAGAUAAUGGGUGCUUAGAUAGUAGUUCUAAUGUAUGGGGAUAGUAGUUGGGAUGUAAAGGAGCUGGAGUCUGCAUAUGUUUUGUUAUGAUAUGUGCAUGUAUUUGUCAUCUACAUUAGACUGUGAGUCCACAAGUGCCAGAUAUUGUUUAUUCCUGUAUUUCAAUGUCCUAUACUAACCUUGAUACACAGUAGGUAUUUGACAGCUGCUGCUAACACUCUCUGGGGAAUCCCCUGAUCGGUCAUGCCCUGAACUCUCAGCCAGUCCCUUCAUUGCCCUUGGGUGGUUGGUGCGGGGAGGGGGGGGGAAGAGGGGGAAGUGGUGCAGGAGAAUUGUCUGUAUUCUGUCAAUCAUGUUAUAAAUAAACGCUGAUUGGCUAGGCUGGAAAUAUAGGCAGGAAAACCAGACAGGAAGUAGAAAUGAUGCAAUGAGAACAGGAGAAUUCUGGAAAGGAGGAAGUUGAUUACUCCCAUUCCUGCCCAGACCACCGAAGCAGAAGGAUGUGAUCUGCCUCACUGAAAAAAGGUACUGAGCCACAUGGCUAACAUAGAUCAGAAAAAUGGGUUAAUCAAGAUGUGAGAUUUAGCCAGUGAGAGGCUAGAGCUAAUGGGCCAAUCAGCUUAUAAUUUA